UACGGAAGGCAGCAGUGGGGAAUAUUGCACAAUGGGCGCAAGCCUGAUGCAGCCAUGCCGCGUGUAUGAAGAAGGCCUUCGGGUUGUAAAGUACUUUCAGUCGUGAGGAAGGUGUUAAGGUUAAUAACCUUAGCAAUUGACGUUAGCGACAGAAGAAGCACCGGCUAACUCCGUGCCAGCAGCCGCGGUAAUACGGAGGGUGCGAGCGUUAAUCGGAAUUACUGGGCGUAAAGGGCACGCAGGCGGUUAAUUAAGUUGGAUGUGAAAUCCCCGGGCUUAACCUGGGAAUGGCAUUCAAGACUGGUUAGCUAGAGUCUUGUAGAGGGGGUAGAAUUCCAUGUGUAGCGGUGAAAUGCGUAGAGAUGUGGAGGAAUACCGGUGGCGAAAGGCGGCCCCCUGGACAAAAGGACUGACGCUCAUGUGCGAAAGCGUGGGGAGCAAACAGGGAUUAGAUACC
rnacentral:rRNA from 1 species